UUCCGUAACUUACAACCCAUCUUCUCCUUCAUAACCCCCGGGCCUUUGAUCAUCAUGUUCUUGUUUUUGUUAGAAAAAAAAGGGAGACCUAUCCCUAACUUGUCCGCCUCUUCUCCCAUCUCCUCAUCACAUUCUGAUUGUGCACUAAAUCACUUCUCCUUUUAGGGAUCUUCAGAGAGUAUGAAGAUCUGUGGGUACUUUUGAUGAUCAUGGACAUUGAAUUAGGUAUGGAAGUGCAGCAAUUGCAGUGCCUUACAGACCUCCUAGGAAAACCCCCAUGCACUGUAAUUUUAGAAGGUUGAAACCAUUGUUUCUUCCAAAGUUAACCACACCUAGAGUGUGAAUAGUAUUGAUAAAUAAUAUUUGACCAAAGUGUCUAGUGUAUAAACAUUACUGUCGUAGGAGGAUUCGAGCUUUUAUCCUUCUCUUUGCAUUCUUGUGUCUACCAUUGGGCUAUUCAAUGGCUGACUAAUUCCCCCCAAUUACAUAAGGCUGGUUCCCACAUGAAUUUUUGUUGGCGUUACUACUGUCUUCUCUGUAAUUUCGGUGUUUCAUUGAUCUUUGCAUUUAAGGUACCGUUUGGUUGUAUGUAACUGUAAACGCAGUGGAUUUGUAGUUACAAUGUAACUGUAAAUACUUUAAUUUUAAAAUUCAGUGUAGUCAAAUCUGGUGUUUAGUUGUCUGUAAUUGGAGAUGCUGCAUAUGCAAAUUUUAUGUUUUAUUGGAGGAAUAUGUAAACCUGGAAUUUGAAAAUAUGUGUUUGACUUGAUGGAUUAUA